AACGCACCUUGCACCCUUUGGUAUUCCGAAGGGUACACCCGUUUGAGUGUCAUUGUAAUCUCACUACGACCACUUUAUUGUUGUUUGUAUGUGGACUUGGAUGUUGCCGUGUAACAAACGGCUCGUCUGAAAUGCCUGAGUGUACCCUGCUUUUGCGGCGUAUUCGGUGUGAUAAAUCUUCACCGGAGUUGACUUUCGGGUCGCGCUUGUAUUGUCAGGCCCUAUGCUUCCAACCGUCCUAACAAGACAAUCUCUGACAAUUUGACCUCAAAUCGGGUGGGACUACCCGCUGAACUUAA
rnacentral:misc_RNA from 1 species